rnacentral:misc_RNA from 1 species
GACGGAGGGGGCUAGCGUUAUUCGGAAUUACUGGGCGUAAAGGGCGCGUAGGCGGAUUAGUAAGUUGGGAGUGAAAGCCCGGGGCUUAACCUCGGAACUGCUUUCAAAACUGCUAGUCUUGAGUGAAGUAGGGGGUGAUGGAAUUCCUAGUGUAGAGGUGAAAUUCUUAGAUAUUAGGAGGAACACCGGUGGCGAAGGCGGUCACCUGGACUUCAACUGACGCUGAGGCGCGAAAGCGUGGGGAGCAAACAGG